rnacentral:rRNA from 1 species
GACGAACGCUGGCGGCGUGCCUAAUACAUGCAAGUUGAGCGAUGAAGAUUGGUGCUUGCACCAAUUUGAAGAGCAGCGAACGGGUGAGUAACGCGUGGGGAAUCUGCCUUUGAGCGGGGGACAACAUUUGGAAACGAAUGCUAAUACCGCAUAACAACUUUAAACAUAAGUUUUAAGUUUGAAAGAUGCAAUUGCAUCACUCAAAGAUGAUCCCGCGUUGUAUUAGCUAGUUGGUGAGGUAAAGGCUCACCAAGGCGAUGAUACAUAGCCGACCUGAGAGGGUGAUAGGCCACAUUGGGACUGAGACACGGCCCAAACUCCUACGGGAGGCAGCAGUAGGGAAUCUUCGGCAAUGGACGAAAGUCUGACCGAGCAACGCCGCGUGAGUGAAGAAGGUUUUCGGAUCGUAAAACUCUGUUGGUAGAGAAGAACGUUGGUGAGAGUGGAAAGCUCAUCAAGUGACGGUAACUACCCAGAAAGGGACGGCUAACUACGUG